GCCUCAGUGGUGUAGUGGUAGCAGGCGUCCUCGGUUUGAGUGAAACGCGGGUUCAAGUCCCGCCUGAGGCC